UGCAAUGGGGUACAUCAGGAGGCUCUGCUGCUGAGCUGCCAGGCAUGUGCCUUGGAUUCAUGGAUUUAAAAUCAAUUCAAGUUGUAGGGCAGUCACUUUGUGGAGGUUCUGUCUUCCUUUGUGAUGUCACUUGUAAUUCGACGGGAUGAUCUUGCUGACCGGCAACAAGGGAGAUCUGUGGAAUGUGUGACGUGGUGCUGCUGGGCUCUUCUGGGUGAGGCGGUUGGCCUGACUUGGGAUAGGAAAAAGGAAUCAGCAAAGAUGAAGGAUGUGAACAUCACUAAUCAGGCGAUGCAUUUCCCAGGCAGGCCUGCAGGUGACAGACCACGAUUCCUCGAUGUCUUCCAGUGCGUGCAAGUGGGGGAGGGGCAGAGAGAGCCAGAAAGGAGACAGACUCUGAAGCAGGCCCGGAGCAGUCAGCCCAACGCCGGAUGCAGGCCCGAACCCACGAAAUGUGUGAGAUCAGGACCUGAGCCGAAGUCGGAAGGUCAACCAACUGAGUCACCCACGUGCCCCACUCAAGAUAUUUUUGAGAACUCCCUAACUUCAACUGACGCUGUCAUGUACAGAAUUCUAAGACUAUAUUUCUCAUGUUUCUUUGCUACUACUACGUAUGGUUACAGGACUCAGUUCUGGCCAAUAACAUGUAAGUACAAGUGGCUGGGUGAGACAUUUGGGAAAGCAUCCUCAAAAGGGUCCAGUGUCUUUCUCCUCCAUUCUUCCUCUAUCUUGCUGGAAAAGACGUAAUAGAUAAAAAUCAUAUGCUUACAAUGGUGGUAUGGAAACACAGAAAGAGGCUGGGUCCCUGAUGUUAUCAUAAAAUGUCACACCAGACCUAGACUGACCAUCUACAUGGUUUUUAUACAUGGAAGAAAAACAAAGCUUCUCAGUUGUACAUACUCCUUUUUUUCCCCUCCAGUCUACAUUGCUCUUAGCCAAAAUGCAAUUCUUAAGUUCCAAAAUCUUAAGGGAUUUAAGAGAAAGAGUCCUAUCUCUUUGCCUACCCCAUGCAGCCUAGGAGGCUUCCUAGCAUGGACUGUAACUUUAGGGGGACCUUAGUGACUGCAGAAAGGGGCAUUAAAACAUCUAUCUGGGGGAGCCUGGGUGGCUCAGUCGGUUAAGCAUCCAACUUCGGCUCAGGUCAUGAUCUCAUGGUUCAUGGGUUUGAGCCCCGCAUCGGGCUGUGUGCUGACAGCUCAGAGCCUGGAGCCUGUUUCAGAUUCUGUGUCUCCCUCUCUCUCUGCCCCUCCCCCACUCAUGCUCUGUCUCCCUGUGUCUCAAAAAUAAAAAUAAACAAACAUUUAAAAAAACCCAAAAAACCGAAAAACAUCUAUCUGU